CGCCACAGAUGAAGGGUUGGAGUUGUUCGGUAGAAGAGUUUCAUCUGUUGUAGGAUAUGGAGGAUUUUCCAAAAUAUUUGCCAUCAAAUUAAAAGACUAUAGUGGUUUCAUUGCAAUUUGUUUGGCACUAUCCUCUAUAUCCUUCUGCCCUAAAAUUCUUCUCCUGAACAAUGCCCACCCUUCAUCUCUGGGCA
rnacentral:pre_miRNA from 1 species